rnacentral:rRNA from 1 species
UACAGAGGGUGCAAGCGUUGUUCGGAAUUAUUGGGCGUAAAGCGCGUGUAGGUGGCUUUGCAAGUCGGGUGUGAAAGCCCUCAGCUCAACUGAGGAAGUGCGCCCGAAACUGCAGAGCUUGAGUACCGGAGAGGGUGGCGGAAUUCCCCAAGUAGAGGUGAAAUUCGUAGAUAUGGGGAGGAACACCUGUGGCGAAGGCGGCCAGCUGGGCCGUCCCUGACGCUGAGGCGCGAAGGCGUGGGGAGCGAACGGG